rnacentral:rRNA from 1 species
UACGUAGGGUGCAAGCGUUAAUCGGAAUUACUGGGCGUAAAGCGUGCGCAGGCGGCUUUGCAAGACAGAUGUGAAAUCCCCGGGCUUAACCUGGGAACUGCAUUUGUGACUGCAUGGCUGGAGUGCGGCAGAGGGGGGAUGGAAUUCCGCGUGUAGCAGUGAAAUGCGUAGAUAUCGGAAGGAACAUCAGUGGCGAAAGCGGCUUCCUGGUCCAGCACCGACGUUCAGGCACGAAAGCGUGGGGAGCAAACAGG